rnacentral:rRNA from 1 species
GGGGCCUUCGGGCCUUGGUAGCGCAGCUAACGGCGUGAAGUUGACCGCCUGGGGGAGUACGGUCGCAAGAUUAAAACUCAAAGGAAUUGACGGGACCCGCACAAGCGGUGGAUGAUGUGGAUUAAUUCGAUGCAACGCGAAAAACCUUACCUACCCUUGACAUGUCUGGAAUGCCGAAGAGAUUUGGCAGUGCUCGCAAGAGAACCGGAACACAGGUGCUGCAUGGCUGUCGUCAGCUCGUGUCGUGAGAUGUUGGGUUAAGUCCCGCAACGAGCGCAACCCUUGUCAUUAGUUGCUACGAAAGGGCACUCUAAUGAGACUGCCGGUGACAAACCGGAGGAAGGUGGGGAUGACGUCAAGUCCUCAUGGCCCUUAUGGGUAGGGCUUCACACGUCAUACAAUGGUCGGGACAGAGGGUCGCCAACCCGCGAGGGGGAGCCAAUCCCAGAAACCCGAUCGUAGUCCGGAUCGCAGUCUGCAACUCGACCUGCGUGAAGUCGGAAUCGCUAGUAAUCGCGGAUCAGCAUGUCGCGGUGAAUACGUUCCCGG